UUAAUAAAAUGAACCGUUGAGAUGCCUCUAGCUUCGGCUAACUCACGCACCUUCAUUCCUGUUAUGAACUUUAUUAAUGGUUUCUGGUAUGACAGCAAUUUUUAGUCCUUCAGACGUGGUGCGUCUUCAAGGGAUGUUCCCCAGCACUUGAACUCAUUAACUCAAUGGCGAAUGGCUUCAUAACAAGAAUAUGAAUCUCCCAAUGCAGGAAAAAUCCUUUCACGGAUUUUUUUGCAGUUUUCCCUUCUAAAAGGAAUUACACUUCUCAUUUUUUAAAUAAAAUUCACCUGAUACAUUAGCACUUAAUACUCAAUUGAUUCUUAAACGAAGCAUUACUGACAAAAUGACUUGACAUUAUAGAGACAAUGCGAACCGAAUUAUUGGUCAAAACACCCUCGUAAAAACUUUCCCAAAUGAACCGACUUUCAAAAAAAAAAACCGCGUCUAAGUUGGUUCAUCCGUUUGGGAGAGACAGUGGAACACAGAGAGACAUAAACAUCAGCUGAUGAUCAUGAAAUGAUUGCAGUGAUUUAUCAUCAAACAUGACUAAAAACCAUCCAGCUUUCAACUAAAAAAACACCGCACCGAAAUCGGUUCAUCCGUUUGGAAACUACGGUGCCACAGACAAAUUUACAGACAGAUAAGGGCUUCAAAGUUAAUAGUUAGUAGCUUAAGUGAUUAUCAUCAUUAUCAUCAAACCUAGCUUAAAACCAUCCCGAUCGAACCAGCGUUCAAACAAAAAAAGCCGCAUCGAAAUCGGUUAACCCGUUUGGGAGCUGCGAUGCCACAAAAAACAGGGUCAAAGCUAUAACACCCCUCUUUUUCAGUCGGGGGUUAAAAAAUGAUCUUCAAAUUUUUUUUUUUUCUGUCGGCUUGACGUUUAGAAGAACUUACUAGCUCAUCUCCUAUGUUAUUGCUGUUCAUUAUAUUAUUGUAAAUCUUGAUAUCCAGUGUAUGGUGGGUUGCCGUGGUUUAUUUAGCACGACAGCGGGUAGCGUACAUUAAGCGUGCAUUCCCUUCCCUAAUGCCAUUCCACAGCUGUGUUCCACAGAGUCCACAUACGCCAUUUGCUGUACACACUUGCAUUCAUGGAGCAGAGUCUGGUUUUGUCCUCUUCUUAAUUUCGCAUUUUGGGUCCAAAUAAAAAAAUAUCUAAAUUGUGAAAUAACAUUAAGUAAUUAAUUAAAUUAUCGACAAUAAUGGAUAAAGUAAAAGAUGAAAUUGAUAUUGAACCCGUAUAUGUUAAAGGUGCUUUUGGAUUAUACAAUAUUAAUGAUUUAAUGGAAAAAGUAAAUUUAGAUGGACAUUAUGGAAUUAAAAUAAUAAAACACGAUGAAAGUUAUACUCGUGAAUGGGAUGAAAACAUCAUGAAUCAAAGUGUAUUUCAUGUAGGAAGAGUUCUUUACAGGAAUGAUACUGAAGAUAUUUUAAAUUUGAUAAAUAUGUUUGCUGAGUAUACCUACAAAGAUUUAAAAGAGGUAAACAAGUGUAAUACAGUUCCAAAAGUCAUGGUAGGUGGAACUAUUUGUCCAACUAGAAAAGAAUUAUUUACAUACAAAUCAAAAUUUUUUGUUGCAUUUGGAAGAUACAUUUUUGGAUAUGAUGAAAAUCACGCUAUUAUAAAGAAGGAUAAAGAAGGAGUAGUGGAAGAAGACAACGAAGGUGAAGAAGACGAAGAAGAUGAAGAAGGUGAAAAAGAUUACUAUUGGAAAGAAAAAUCAAAAAUAGAUGAAAAUAAAAUUAUCGUAUCUGUUCCAAUAUUCACUCGUUCUAACUAUUAUGAAGAUGAGUAUGUUUAUUCUUUUUUAAUAUAUGAUACAGAUACUGGAAUUCUUGAUGCUUUCGGAAUGUAUAGAUAACUGAAAUAAUGUAGUAACCUUAUUUAUAUUAAAAAAUUUGAAAAUUGUGAAUGAAUUAUGUGGCUAAUAAUAAUAAAAUAAUAUCAGAGAUAAGAUCCACCCCAUUACAAUACAUACCUAUGUGUCAUUCUAAGAUAAUUUAAGUAAAGUGUAUUCACCUAAGAUGAUUAUAUGUAUAGAAAAAUAAUAUUAGUUACAUCAGAAAAUAUAUAUGUGCUAAGUAAACAAUAGAUUAGCUCUGCAUACAAAGCAGUAAAAUUGAAAGAA